rnacentral:sRNA from 1 species
UGUCCCUCCACGCCAGGACUGAGUUGUGGGGGAGGGAGGCGGUUAGCGGGCUUUAGCGCCUUUUCUGGCGGCGGUAGAUUUGAAGCGCUUCAAAGGACCGGACCCAGAGAAGAGGAAAACUCUACCGGUGCAGGAGCACAGGGAUCAGUUGUCCUUGUUUUUUUUUUGGUCUUUUCUUCAUUUGAAGAUUAAGUAUUGGAGCCAUGGGAAUAAAGGUUCAACGUCCUCGAUGUUUUUUUGACAUUGCCAUUAACAAUCAACCUGCUGGAAGAGUUGUCUUUGAAUUGUUUUCUGAUGUGUGCCCCAAAACAUGCGAGAACUUUCGUUGUCUUUGUACAGGUGAAAAGGGGACCGGGAAAUCAACUCAGAAACCAUUACAUUAUAAGAGUUGUCUCUUUCACAGAGUUGUCAAGGAUUUUAUGGUUCAAGGUGGUGACUUCAGUGAAGGAAAUGGACGAGGAGGGGAAUCUAUCUAUGGAGGAUUUUUUGAAGACGAGAGUUUCGCUGUUAAACACAACAAAGAAUUUCUCUUGUCAAUGGCCAACAGAGGGAAGGAUACAAAUGGUUCACAGUUCUUCAUUUAAGAAAGAAGAAAAGAAAAGGCAUAAAUCAUCAUCAUCUUCCUCCUCCUCAUCUAGUGACUCAGAUAGCUCAAGUGAUUCUCAGUCCUCUUCUGAUUCCUCUGAUUCUG